UCCAGUAGUUUGAUUCUGGCUCAGGACGAACGCUGGCGGCGUGCUUAACACAUGCAAGUCGAACGAUGAACCACUUCGGUGGGGAUUAGUGGCGAACGGGUGAGUAACACGUGGGCAAUCUGCCCUGCACUCUGGGACAAGCCCUGGAAACGGGGUCUAAUACCGGAUACUGAUCCUCGCAGGCAUCUGCGAGGUUCGAAAGCUCCGGCGGUGCAGGAUGAGCCCGCGGCCUAUCAGCUAGUUGGUGAGGUAACGGCUCACCAAGGCGACGACGGGUAGCCGGCCUGAGAGGGCGACCGGCCACACUGGGACUGAGACACGGCCCAGACUCCUACGGGAGGCAGCAGUGGGGAAUAUUGCACAAUGGGCGAAAGCCUGAUGCAGCGACGCCGCGUGAGGGAUGACGGCCUUCGGGUUGUAAACCUCUUUCAGCAGGGAAGAAGCGAAAGUGACGGUACCUGCAGAAGAAGCGCCGGCUAACUACGUGCCAGCAGCCGCGGUAAUACGUAGGGCGCAAGCGUUGUCCGGAAUUAUUGGGCGUAAAGAGCUCGUAGGCGGCUUGUCACGUCGGUUGUGAAAGCCCGGGGCUUAACCCCGGGUCUGCAGUCGAUACGGGCAGGCUAGAGUUCGGUAGGGGAGAUCGGAAUUCCUGGUGUAGCGGUGAAAUGCGCAGAUAUCAGGAGGAACACCGGUGGCGAAGGCGGAUCUCUGGGCCGAUACUGACGCUGAGGAGCGAAAGCGUGGGGAGCGAACAGGAUUAGAUACCCUGGUAGUCCACGCCGUAAACGGUGGGCACUAGGUGUGGGCAACAUUCCACGUUGUCCGUGCCGCAGCUAACGCAUUAAGUGCCCCGCCUGGAUAGGCCCACCGU
rnacentral:rRNA from 1 species